CUCAGCUUAAUCCGCCGUCGUUGGUUCAAACGACGGUCGUAUUGAUCUUCGCUGAUUGGAUCUUUAUAAUCCGUACAAACUCCCGGAGCUCUUGGCCUAUCAAUGUCCGGGAUUGAUGGAGCUAUCCAAACCAGCUGCUCUGUUACGCACCUCUGGAACCACGGCGAUAAGCAAAGGCGUCGAAUUGACUCAUCACGGGAACUUCAUUACUUUGCUGUUAUUUCCAAGCAAAGGAUUGUGAAAAAGUUUCUCGAUUGAAGAGGUAGCUAGUAAAGUUCCAAUUGCAUUUCUUUGAUGCAUUAACAAAGCAUUCAGAUUUGAGGUCUCAUUCAGCGAGUAGAUUCCUAUGAGUUUGAUCC
rnacentral:misc_RNA from 1 species